GUCUGAAGUUCAGGAAGUAGUGCAGCUGGGCAUGAAGCCCUUUAGGGACUGCAGAAGUUUUCCAGCUGGACGUGGUGGUGGUGCCACUCUCUAGUCUGGGUUUCCCCAUACUGCCUUACCGCAGCGCGAUUCAAUUCACACUGAAAGGCAGUCUGGAUACCGUUACCGUUUCUCCUCAUUUAGGGAAUCAAUCAUUCACAGAACGGGGAGGGAGCAGCGAGACGAUGACGAUAUCUAUCCCUCACACCGAAGCAGUUUGUCUAUGGACUCAACAUGGCAGCAGAUGCAAAGCUUUUGAUGCAGCCUUAGAUAUUGUUUUAAGUAGUUUAGAAGUAGUUUAAGUUUAUUUAGAAAAAAGAGCCGUUUCUGGCGUUAAACUUCGCGAGAGCCCAGUCGUUAUUGUUGUCUCGCCAUUAAUCGCCCUAAUGGAGGACCGGUACAGGAGGCGGUCAGCCUGGGAAUAUCUGCCGCUCGGCUGUGGCCCGAGAAAGAAAAUGCGGUAAAGAAUGGUCGAUACCAACUUCUGUUCGGCAGUCCCGAGGCCUGGAUGAGCGCAAAGUGGCAAGACAUGUUAGCCACGGAGUUGUAUAGUACCAACCUGCUAGGCAUCGUCGUCGACGAAGUCUAUUUAACUUAUAAAUGUUGAGGACACUAUUCUUCGCCACCGCUUCAAGACACUGAAGGAGAAUCGCACACUGGGUUUCUACGGCGUUCAACACGAGGGUCAUAUUAUCGCAGUACGCUGUAGAAGCUCUGUUACAGCGAAACGCCCGUGUGACUCUCUUCCCGUUCAUAGGUCAGCAGUUAAAAAGACUGAACUUGACAACUAUAAUCUCUUGACACUGGAGGAUGAUCACACACU